UACGAAGGGGGCUAGCGUUGUUCGGAAUUACUGGGCGUAAAGCGCGCGUAGGCGGUGAUCUUUGUCAGAGGUGAAAUCCCGAGGCUCAACUUCGGAAUUGCCUUUGAAACGGGAUCGCUUGAGUCCGAGAGAGGAUGGCGGAAUUCCUAGUGUAGAGGUGAAAUUCGUAGAUAUUCGCAAGAACACCAGUGGCGAAGGCGGCUUACUGGUCCGGAACUGACGCUGAGGUGCGAAAGCGUGGGGAGCAAACAGG
rnacentral:rRNA from 1 species